rnacentral:rRNA from 1 species
CCUACGGGUGGCAGCAGUGGGGAAUAUUGCGCAAUGGGCGAAAGCCUGACGCAGCGACGCCGCGUGAGGGAUGAAGGUCUUCGGAUCGUAAACCUCUGUCAGCAGGGAAGAACGGUCACUGUGCUAAUCAGCAGUGAAUUGACGGUACCUGCAAAGGAAGCACCGGCUAACUCCGUGCCAGCAGCCGCGGUAAUACGGAGGGUGCGAGCGUUAAGCGGAAUUACUGGGCGUAAAGCGCUCGUAGGCGGUAGGUCAAGUCAAGGGGGAAAUCCCCGCGCUCAACGUGGGAACUGCCUUUGAAACUGGCAAACUGGAGUGUGUGAGAGGAUAGUGGAAUUCCAGGUGUAGGGGUGAAAUCCGUAGAUAUCUGGAGGAACAUCAGUGGCGAAGGCGACUAUCUGGCACAUAACUGACGCUGAGGAGCGAAAGCGUGGGUAGCAAACAGGAUUAGAUACCCGAGUAGUC